UACGUAGGGGGCAAGCGUUGUCCGGAUUCAUUGGGCGUAAAGAGCGUGUAGGCGGCCAGGUAGGUCGGUUGUGAAAACUGGAGGCUCAACCUUCAGAGGUCGACCGAAACCAUCUGGCUAGAGUCCGGGAGAGGAGAGUGGAAUUCCACGUGUAGCAGUGAAAUGCGUAGAGAUGUGGAGGAACACCGAUGGCGAAGGCAGCCCCCUGGGUUAACACUGACGCUCAGGCACGAAAGCGUGGGGAGCAAACAGG
rnacentral:rRNA from 1 species